GCCAGGGAGGAAAGCACAGACAGAAGAAUGUAGAGGGGCCGGAACUGCUAGUUUCUGUGUAGAAGUCAGACGGGAACUCUGCAAAUGUGAAACCUGAGUGGGGGCUUCCGGAAGUUGCCGGAGGAAGGGACCCUUUUGGAGCCUGUAGUAGUUUCCCAGUGUCAACGCGACAAGGUCUCAACAGUUUGCUACUUCUCCGACUCUGAAAUUUAGAAACCUUAAAGUAUCAAGAGGGCCACGUAACCCCUCAGUUCACCAAACCUACAAGAACAGAGUGACUCUGUCUUCCACAAAGACUGGAAUCUUUUCAUUUGGAGACAACACCACACCUACCGGGUGGAGGUCAUGCACUAUGCUUGCCACUGGUGACUUCAAGACUCUGGCCACCACAUCACACACUAGGUCCUCUAAACGGUUCAGGAGGUCCUCAAAGGUCAGGAAAGGGCACUCGGCUUCCACGUGAGUGAACCUGAAGAAAAGCCACAGCUGAGCGCUGCUCCUAUUGCACACAGACAUCUCUCUCAAGCAAAGGUUUGAACCUUGGGGAAUUGUUCAGAGUGAACUCUAGGUAUCUCACUGAAAGCUCACAGGAAAAUCAGAGAAUAGAUUUUGGUUGUGGCCUAAGGAA